ACCAACAGGGGGUGGGGGAAGUACUCGCAUCAUUUCCUCUAGUACCGUAAUUCAUUCCCAUUCUUUGCGCAACAUAAAGUCAUUUGAAACCACAUGGAACCACAUGAAACCCACAUUUGGAAACGAGCAGAAACAAGCGGAUAGGACUUCUACGUGCGAAUAUGGAAAAAAUCACUCGUAGAGAUGGGAUUAUUUCGAAUAGUUACGUUUUUGAAAGCUUUGCCAGCAGAGGGGAACUGGUUUUGGCAGUUACACCGCAGAUGAACAAAUUUCUCCACCAUAUGGGCGCCUUAAGGGCCUGAAAGAUUCCGUUGCUUAGCGAAUAGAGUAGCAUUGUUUACUCUGUCAUGACUUCAGCAGGAAUGGUAGAAAUCUGGUUCUCUGAUGAACCGCGAAACAAGACCACGAAAGUUUGCAGUAUUGCCCAAACUACGUCAAUCGCUUAAACAAAACCACUUCCUUGACAGACAGAUCUUUACAGACUACUAAACAAGGAAGUGUCAUUGAAAUGGGUUUUGUGUUGCUGUUCUGAGUGUGUGUACAAUUUAAAUGUAGAUUUGGUGCUUACGUUAACUGUUAUCCAGUUAGACUAAUAGCUUAUAAACCAACCCAAAUGAAAUUGAAAUCCCUAUUUAUUGAUAUCGUGACCGUUGUCACGUGACAAGGCUUCGUGCGUAACGUAAGAAAACAUUGCAUGUUCAAUAGCGCGAAUCGGCAUCUUAGAGCGCGAUUCCACAAAUACAUCUCAUGAAUAUCAUCAAUCUGGAUAAUUUAGAAAGGCCUUUAGGAUAAAAAAAAAACUACAACUUUCUCAUUCGUGAUUGUCAAGUAAUCGCACGACGUGAAAUACAUCCAAGGCAAAUACGUAGUUUGUCUCUAAGGUGAUUCAAAUAGUUGAAUAAUGCGGUGAACAUUA